AACUUAAUGGUGUUUGGAGGUUUUUGGAGUUUGUUUACAUUUGAUUUAGCUUACUUGGCACAUUGGUAGAAGCACCCAUGGUUACAUUCAUUUACCCUUUGGUUUGGAAGCACUUUUUGGUAGCCACUUCUUUCUUGCUCACGUAAAUUUGUGCCUUGGUAUUGGAAUCCGAAUUUGCUGCAUGAAAGGAGUAAGGGCAUGG
rnacentral:lncRNA from 1 species